rnacentral:rRNA from 1 species
GAUGAACGCUGGCGGCGUGCCUAACACAUGCAAGUCGAACGGACUUGACUUGAAACCUAGUGAUAGUCAAGUUAGUGGCGGACGGGUGAGUAACGCGUGGGUAACCUGCCCUAUACCGGGGGAUAACACUUAGAAAUAGGUGCUAAUACCGCAUAAGCGCGCAGCUUCGCAUGGAGCAGUGCGAAAAACUCCGGUGGUAUAGGAUGGACCCGCGUCUGAUUAGAUAGUUGGUGGGGUAACGGCCUACCAAGUCGACGAUCAGUAGCCGGCCUGAGAGGGUGAACGGCCACAUUGGGACUGAGACACGGCCCAA